rnacentral:rRNA from 1 species
AAAAUUUUAAAGGUCGAACAGACCUAAAAUUUCUAGCUUCUGCACCAGAAAUUAAUUUUAAUCCAACAUCGAGGUCGCAACCCCUUCUUUCAAUUUGAACUCUCUAGAAAGAUUACGCUGUUAUCCCUAAGGUAAUUAAUUCUUUUAAUCACAAAAAAGUGGAUCAAAAUACCAUAAAUUAAUGUUUAAUUUAAAAAAAAGUUUAAUUAAUUUUUCAAUCGCCCCAAUCAAACAUUCUUAAAACUUAUUUAAAAUAAAUACUAAAAAUAAUUAACUUUUAAGAAAAUAAAACUCUAUAGGGUCUUCUCGUCUUUUAAUUAAAUUUAAGCUUUCUUACUUAAAAAUAAAAUUCAAAAAAAAUUAAAAAAAGACAGUAAUUUUCUCAUUCAACCAUUCAUUCCAGCUCCUAAUUAAGGAACUAAUUAUUAUGCUACCUUUGCACGGUCAAAAUACCGCGGCCAUUUAAAUAUUCAUAGGGCAGGUUAGACUUUAAAUUAUACUCGAAAAGCC